AUUGAACGCUGGCGGCAUGCCUUACACAUGCAAGUCGAACGGUAACGGGCCUUCGGGUGCCGACGAGUGGCGAACGGGUGAGUAAUACAUCGGAACGUGCCCGAUCGUGGGGGAUAACGAGGCGAAAGCUUUGCUAAUACCGCAUACGAUCUACGGAUGAAAGCAGGGGACCGCAAGGCCUUGCGCGGACGGAGCGGCCGAUGGCAGAUUAGGUAGUUGGUGGGAUAAAAGCUUACCAAGCCGACGAUCUGUAGCUGGUCUGAGAGGAUGAUCAGCCACACUGGGACUGAGACACGGCCCAGACUCCUACGGGAGGCAGCAGUGGGGAAUUUUGGACAAUGGGCGCAAGCCUGAUCCAGCCAUGCCGCGUGCAGGAUGAAGGCCUUCGGGUUGUAAACUGCUUUUGUACGGAACGAAAAGCCUUCUUCUAAUACAGGAGGGUCAUGACGGUACCGUAAGAAUAAGCACCGGCUAACUACGUG
rnacentral:rRNA from 1 species